rnacentral:rRNA from 1 species
CAGUGGGGAAUUUUCCGCAAUGGGCGAAAGCCUGACGGAGCAAUGCCGCGUGGAGGUGGAAGGCCUACGGGUCGUCAACUUCUUUUCUCGGAGAAGAAACAAUGACGGUAUCUGAGGAAUAAGCAUCGGCUAACUCUGUGCCUG